UACGGGGGGGAGCAAGCGUUUGUUUCGGAUUUACUGGGCGUAAAGGGCGCGUAGGCGCCUCUGCAAGUCGACUGUGAAAUCUCCGGGCUUAACCCGGAAAGGUCAGCCGAUACUGCAGGGCUAGAGUGCAGAAGGGGCAACUGGAAUUCUCGGUGUAGCGGUGAAAUGCGUAGAUAUCGAGAGGAACACCUGCGGCGAAGGCGGGGUUGCUGGGCUGACACUGACGCUGGCAGCGCGGAAAAGCGUGGGGGAGAAACAGG
rnacentral:rRNA from 1 species